rnacentral:pre_miRNA from 1 species
GCAUCUUCGGCAGUCACCCUGAGUAUACUCCGAUGCAGAGGCGUAUCCUCCGUGACGGUAGCCUUGUAUUCGGUCGGAUAGAA